rnacentral:rRNA from 1 species
UACGAAGGGGGCUAGCGUUGUUCGGAAUUACUGGGCGUAAAGCGAACGUAGGCGGUGUUCCAUGUCAGAGGUGAAAGCCUGGGGCUCAACUCCAGAAUUGCCUUUGAAACGGGAACGCUUGAGUCCGAGAGAGGAUGGCGGAAUUCCUAGUGUAGAGGUGAAAUUCGUAGAUAUUAGGAAGAACACCGGUGGCGAAGGCGGCCAUCUGGCUCGGUACUGACGCUCAGGUUCGAAAGCGUGGGAAGCAAACAGG